rnacentral:rRNA from 1 species
CGGACGGGUGAGUAACGCGUAGGAACCUAUCGCACAGUGGGGGAUAACACGGGGAAACCGGUGCUAAUACCGCAUGUGGUCAGAGAUGAAGAAAGCAGCAAUGCGCUGUGUGAGGGGCCUGCGUCCGAUUAGCUAGUUGGUGGGGUAAAGGCCUACCAAGGCGACGAUCGGUAGCUGGUCUGAGAGGAUGGUCAGCCACACUGGGACUGAGACACGGCCCAG